UACGUAGGUGGCAAGCGUUGUCCGGAUUUAUUGGGUUUAAAGGGUGCGUAGGCGGCCUUAUAAGUCAGUGCUGAAAUAUCCCGGCUUAACCGGGAGGGUGGCAUUGAUACUGUAGGGCUUGAGUGUAGUCGAGGUAGGCGGAAUUGACGGUGUAGCGGUGAAAUGCUUAGAUAUCGCCAAGAACACCGAUAGUGUAGACAGCUUACUAGGCUACAACUGACGCUGAGGCACGAAAGUGUGGGGAUCAAACAGG
rnacentral:rRNA from 1 species